ensembl:lncRNA
CCUUGCGCUGCCUGCAGGCGGGAAUUCAACCAGCUUUGGAAAGGUUCAGACAUAAAUUCAGGGAGCAGCACCAAACAGGUGACAAAGAAACGUGAGAGGUAGGCCCCUGACUGUGUGAGGCAGACCCCUAGCAUUAUGAGGCUGAAAUCACAGAAGACGAAUAGAGGCUCCUCCCACAGAUCCACUGCCACUGACGGAAUAGCAGGCUCCCGCCGGGCAGGCACAACACAAUGGGAAGCACGCGGCAGUGCCGGAGAUGCCAACCUGCCAAAAUGAGAAAGCGAGGAAGCUGCAUCCGGCUGAGCUCUGGAGCUAACCACGAUUUAUUAGACACAGGAAGGUGUCUUGGCUUGGGUUGCACUGAGAGAAGAGCCUGGGAGGAGGAUUUGGGAGCAGGUCAUUUAUUUGGGAGAUGGUCUCAGGAAGGAGUGUGGGAGGAGGAAAACCCAGAAGAAAAGACAAUGAGUGUGUGUUACUGACAAAGGGUGGGCACCCUGUUUUAAUACAUUAAUGAUAAAGGUUAAGUAUCAUGUAUGGUGAUAAAAAAUAAUAAUAAUACUAAAGGCCCACAAAGGAUGGUUACUAUUGUAGGUAAUAGAGGCUCAGUCUUGUUAGGGACCCUCUGAAGAACCAUGCAGAAUGUGCCUCAGAGUUAUCCGACCAGAGGAUGGGGAAGUUGGAGAAUGUAGGUGCCACUGGGUUUUUUGGCGUUUUUUGUUUUUUGUUUCUUUGAAGAUGGAGUCUCACUCUGUUGCCCAGGCUGGUGUGCAAUGGCACCAUCUCUGCUCACUGCAACCUCCGCCUCCUGGGUUCAAGUGAUUCUCCUGCCUUAGCCUCCUGAGUAGCGGGAAUUACAAGCAUGUGCCAGAUGGCUGGCUGAAUUUUGUAUUUUUAGUAAAGACAGGGUUUCACCAUGUUGGCCAGGUUGGUCUCGAACUCCUGGCCUCAAGUGAUCUACCCACCUCGGCCUCUUGAAGUGCUGGGAUUACAGGCAUGAGCCACCGUGCCCGGCCCCAUUGGAGUUUUGUUUGUUGUUGUUGUUGUUCUUUGAUUUUUUUUCUUUUUUUUUUUUGGAGACAGAGUCUCACUCUGUGGCCCAGGCUGGAAUGCAGUGUUGCAAUCACUGCUCACUGCAGCCUCAACUUCCUGGGCUCAAGGGAUCCUCCUGCCUCAGCCUCCUGAGUAGCUGGGACUACAGGCACAUGCCACCAUGCCCAGCUAAUUUUUAUUUUUAUUUUUUAUAGAGGUAAGGUCUCAUUAUGUUGCCCAGGCUGGUCUGGAACUCCUGAGUUCAAGUGAUCCUCCCACCUCAGCCUCCUAAAGUGCUGGGAUUACAGGCAUGAGCCGCUGUCUCCAGCCAUUUCAUCAGUUAAUGGUUGUCCCAGGAGCGUCAGUCCUUUCCCCAUUACCUCCCUCUCCUGAUGAACACACACAAUGUUCAGGAGAAAACCAUGAGUCAGUGAAGCAGAAUAACAGCUGCAGUGCUUAACGUGGGGCCACAGUUUCCAGAAUGUAAGCAAUGCUGAAACCAGGCAUGCCCAGGCAGUGUGGCAUGCAAACCUCUGCUAACCCGGGACGGAGUGUGCAGUGUCACCGUGUGGAUGCCGUCAGCCAAAUCCAAACAACUGUGGAAAAUGUCUGCAGGACUCAUGACCUGGUUUCUUCCACAAUUAAAUGGCAUUAAAAAAAAAAAAAAAAA